UACAGAGGGUGCGAGCGUUAAUCGGAAUUACUGGGCGUAAAGCGCACGUAGUCGGCUUUGCAAGUCGGGUGUGAAAUCCCCGGGCUCAACCUGGGAACUGCAUCCGAGACUGCAUUGCUAGAGUAUGGGAGAGGGAAGCGGAAUUUCUGGUGUAGCAGUGAAAUGCGUAGAGAUCGGGAGGAACACCGGUGGCGAAGGCGGGUCUCUGGGCAAUUCCUGACGCUGAGGCGCGAAAGCGUGGGGAGCAAACGGG
rnacentral:rRNA from 1 species